UUUUGAUAUUAGGCAAAGCUAACACAAAUUUAUCCCUCUUUCCCCCUCCCGCAAUCGGCCAAAACCCUUUUCCCGCUCGACGCCGCCGUUGCCUGAUUGCCGCCGCAGCUAUGAUCCAUUGUCCUUGCGACGAUAUGUUAUGCUAUAUAUAUGGAGGAAUUCUGGAAGGGUGCUGAUUCAACUAUUUUCGACGUUUGAGUAGAAGACAUACAAGAAUCUAUAAGUGUCCUGCACGCGCAAUGAGCCCAGCUUGAAAAGGAUUUUCUGGAAUUCUCCUGCAUUUAGGUAUGUACCCUGUGAGUGAUGGGGUACUAAUCACUCCCUCCGGGUGGUGGGCGAUCACCCCAAUUUAUUUUUUAUUUUUUACUUCAAUAUACAUACAUGAAGGAGAAUGGGAUAGAAAGGGUUUAUGAGGUUCUGGGACUAUUUGCGUUUGCAUUAUGUGUUUAAUUUAUGUGCAUUUGACAUGUUUGUUAGAUGAUGUAUAUAUUGUUUGUUGGACUUGAUAUUGGUUGUUCGAUGAAUUAUAAUCUUAGCUACUCGUAAUAGAGGUGAUAAGCUAUGUGUACAUGCCAUGAUGCCAUUCUCAUUUGUAAUUCAUCCUGCAAUUUUCUAAUCUGAUCUUGUGAAUCGCUUUGGAAGUGCACAGCUGGAUAGCCUUGCUUACUUAGCAAUAGGAGGGGCUUAUGAAAUUUUUAAUUACAUUCUCGCAUACGCCUGUGCACACACUCACAAGCAUGCCACAAAACUGCUUUCUUCAUAUAAUUUGUUUAACAUUUGCUUGGUAAACAAUCAGCCCAGCACUUAAGAGAUUUUCCAUUUCAUUCAAUUUUCAAUUUUCUUUUCCAUACUGCUCUUGAUCUUCAAUCGUUUUUAUUGAUAAGUCUACUGUUUACACACUUUUUAUAUAUGUAUAUAUAUAUUUAAUCACAAAAAAAAUAAAAAAUCGUGUCAAACGCCAUUUUUAUUUUCAAAGUUUUCAAAACAAAGCAUAAUUAUCAAAUUGAGUUUUUAUUCU